AUUGAACGCUGGCGGCAGGCCUAACACAUGCAAGUCGAGCGGAGCGGCGGACGGGUGAGUAAUGACUAGGAAUCUGCCUGGCAGUGGCGGAUAAAGUCCGGAAACGGGCGCUAAUACCGCAUACUAUCAGAUCAGUCUAGGUUGGAUUAGCUAGUUGGUGGGGUAAAGGCUGAUCAAGGCGACGAUCCGUAACUGGUCUGAGAGGAUGAUCAGUCACACUGGAACUUAGACACGGUGCAGACUCCGACGGGAGGCAGCAUUUGGGAAUAUUGGGCAAUGGGCGCAAGCCGGAUCCAGCCAUGCCGCGUGUGUGAAGAAGGUCUUCGGAUUGUAAAGCACUUUAAGUUGGGAGGCGUUACCAACAGAGUAAGCACCGGCUAACUUCGUGCCAGCAGCCGCGGUAAUAC
rnacentral:rRNA from 1 species